AACCGCAUGCAUACAAAAAGUCGGAGCCCGCAAGGGUGACGGCGUACCUUUUGUAUAAUGGGUCAGCGACUUACAUUCAGUGGCAAGCUUAACCGAAUAGGGGAGGCGCAGGGAAACCGAGUCCGAAUAGGGCGUUCAGUCGCUGGGUGUAGACCCGAAACCAGGUGAUCUAUCCAUGGCCAGGAUGAAGGUGAGGUAACACUUACUGGAGGUCCGAACCGACUGGUGUUGCAAAACCAGCGGAUGAGCUGUGGAUAGGGGUGAAAGGCUAAACAAACCUGGAGAUAGCUGGUUCUCUCCGAAAACUAUUUAGGUAGUGCCUCAAGUAUUACCGACGGGGGUAGAGCACUGUUAUGGCUAGGGGGUCAUGGCGACUUACCAAACCAUUGCAAACUCCGAAUACCGUUGAGUACAGCUUGGGAGACAGUGCACCGGGUGCUAACGUCCGGACACAAGAGGGAAACAACCCAGACCGCCAGCUAAGGUCCCUAAUAUUGGCUAAGUGGGAAACGAAGUGGGAAGGCUAAAACAGUCAGGAUGUUGGCUUAGAAGCAGCCAUCAUUUAAAGAAAGCGUAAUAGCUCACUGAUCGAGUCGUCCUGCGCGGAAGAUGUAACGGGGCUAAGCCAGUCACCGAAGCUGCGGAUAUGCGUAAGCAUAUGGUAGGAGAGCGUUCUGUAAGCCUGUGAAGGUGUCUGGUAACGGAUGCUGGAGGUAUCAGAAGUGCGAAUGCUGACAUGAGUAGCGUUAAAGGGGGUGAAAAGCCCCCUCGCCGUAAGCGCAAGGUUUCCUACGCAACGUUCAUCGGCGUAGGGUGAGUCGGCCCCUAAGGCGAGGCAGAGAUGCGUAGCUGAUGGGAAACAGGUCAAUAUUCCUGUACCGAUGUGUAGUGCGAUGUGGGGACGGAGAAGGUUAGCUCAGCCGGGUGUUGGAUGUCCCGGUUCAAGCCUGUAGUCGUGCCUGGUAGGCAAAUCCGCCGGGCUUAGAUGAGGGGUGAUAACGAGGGUGCUUGCACCUGAAGUGAGUGAUACCCUGCUUCCAGGAAAAGCCACUAAGCUUCAGCUACACACGACCGUACCGCAAACCGACACUGGUGCGCGAGAUGAGUAUUCUAAGGCGCUUGAGAGAACUCGGGAGAAGGAACUCGGCAAAUUGGUACCGUAACUUCGGGAUAAGGUACGCCCUAGUAGCUUGACUGUGAACAACAGAAGGGUGAAUGGGUUGCAAAAAAUGGUGGCUGCGACUGUUUAAUAAAAACACAGCACUCUGCAAACACGAAAGUGGACGUAUAGGGUGUGACGCCUGCCCGGUGCUGGAAGAUUAAAUGAUGGGGUGCAAGCUCUUGAUUGAAGUCCCAGUAAACGGCGGCCGUAACUAUAACGGUCCUAAGGUAGCGAAAUUCCUUGUCGGGUAAGUUCCGACCUGCACGAAUGGCGUAACGAUGGCCACACUGUCUCCUCCUGAGACUCAGCGAAGUUGAAAUGUUUGUGAUGAUGCAAUCUCCCCGCAGCUAGACGGAAAGACCCCAUGAACCUUUACUGUAGCUUUGCAUUGGACUUUGAACCAAUCUGUGUAGGAUAGGUGGGAGGCUUUGAAGCGGGGACGCUAGUUCUCGUGGAGCCGUCCUUGAAAUACCACCCUGGUUUGUUUGAGGUUCUAACCUUGGCCCGUUAUCCGGGUCGGGGACAGUGCAUGGUAGGCAGUUUGACUGGGGCGGUCUCCUCCCAAAGUGUAACGGAGGAGUUCGAAGGUACGCUAGGUACGGUCGGACAUCGUGCUAAUAGUGCAAUGGCAUAAGCGUGCUUAACUGCGAGACUGACAAGUCGAGCAGAUGCGAAAGCAGGACAUAGUGAUCCGGUGGUUCUGUAUGGAAGGGCCAUCGCUCAACGGAUAAAAGGUACUCCGGGGAUAACAGGCUGAUACCGCCCAAGAGUUCAUAUCGACGGCGGUGUUUGGCACCUCGAUGUCGGCUCAUCUCAUCCUGGGGCUGUAGCCGGUCCCAAGGGUAUGGCUGUUCGCCAUUUAAAGUGGUACGUGAGCUGGGUUUAAAACGUCGUGAGACAGUUUGGUCCCUAUCUGCCGUGGGCGUUGGAAGUUUGAGGGGGGCUGCUCCUAGUACGAGAGGACCGGAGUGGACGAACCUCUGGUGUACCGGUUGUCACGCCAGUGGCAUCGCCGGGUAGCUAAGUUCGGAAGAGAUAACCGCUGAAAGGCUUAUCGUGACUGGGAAAC
rnacentral:rRNA from 1 species